rnacentral:lncRNA from 1 species
GUCGUUUUGUUUAUAUGGAAGGAAUAUGACAGUUGUUAUAUAAUAGUUCGUUUCUGUGUAUAUUGGGGUUUGUUUUGUUGUACUUCAGUGUUAAUGUUGUUCCUUUGUUUUCCUCUUAAAGUUGAUGCGUUUCUUUCGGUUGUAGUUUGUAACCUGGAUUUGUUUUCUAUCAAUCGAUUUAUGACUUUUGACAACGGUAUACUACUGUUGCCUUUACUUCUCCAAUUAAUGAAAAUGUCUCUGAAGCUAGCUUGUUUGAAUCGUUAUGUACACUUGUUUAACUUAUGAUUGUUUUUUUU